GCAAUCAAAAACGAAGAAAUUUGUCUAUCCUGUUAUGUCUAUCCUGUUACUAUGGUUGCUAUGGUUACAGUAACAGGAUAGACAAUUAUAGACAAAAACGUCGUUAAUUUUUUUAUCUUAACAUGUAGAUGGAAAACGAAGGAAAUAUUUCAUUGUUUGAACUCGUCUUAAGGUUAAAACGUCUUAAUCUUCCCAAUUAAGCAUUUGCAGGUGCAAUACUGAUAUCGGUAACAGGAUAGACAAAAAGGUAACAGGAUAGACUUUUAUAUAGUGAUAUAUCAGAAACGUACGUUCCUGUUACCAACGAAAUAAAGAGAAAAGUAAAUUAACUUAUGAGGGAUUUACUUGAUGUUGGGUUUAUUUGAAAGGAUGAAAAAAGGCCGAACAAUAUAAAUUGCUAUCUUAGACUUGCAUUACUGGUGGUAAUUUUUACAACCUUUGAAAACCAAUUUCUGGAGCCGUUUUUCAGUACAACCUAGAAAAUUGGCAAAUAAUCUAUAAUUUUACAGAAUGAAUAUAUAUAGAAGUUUAUUCUCUUGAAAACCAUCUAAUUGGUAACUUAAAACAAGCUUAACAUUUUAUCUAAACCUUUUCUUAAUAACCCAAAAUUUCUUUUGAAAAUGGUAACAGGAUAGACAAAAUAUUGUACCACCGAUCAAAAAAUGUUUCAAUAUAUUCUUGUAUGACAUCAUUAAGAUUGCAUCUUUUAAUAUGUUGUUCUUAAAGUACUGUUUGUUUUGAUUUGCUUAUGUAGAGGGUUGUUU
rnacentral:lncRNA from 1 species